CAGACUUACAUAAUUACAAAGAGGAGAUUCUCCUGAUUAAAAUGGUGCCCGUGUAACAGUUUUGGUGCCCGUGUAACGGCCCACUAACUUUUAAAGGAGGAACCACGUUGGCUAAUAGGACCGAUGGUAAAGGUAGAUUACUCUCCCGGCGACGAAUCCUUACAAGGCACCCGGACCUUCGUCCUCGAUACCGCCGUCUCUUUCUCCUGCAAAUGACGGGGAUGAGGGCCUUGUCGGGCGUCUAAAGUAAAUCCUUCCCGUCCGACUGGUUGAAGAAAAAGUAUUCCUCCAGUACGGGGUGAUAACACAAGACAGACAAAACCAAACGAAAAGGAAAAGGGAUCGGUGGCAGCUAGUAGACCGGCG
rnacentral:lncRNA from 1 species